rnacentral:rRNA from 1 species
GACGGGGGGGGCAAGUGUUCUUCGGAAUGACUGGGCGUAAAGGGCGCGUAGGCGGCUUGCACAGUCAGGCGUGAAAUUCCUGGGCUCAACCUGGGGACUGCGCUUGAGACGUGUGGGCUUGAGUGGGGAAGAGGGUCGUGGAAUUCCCAGUGUAGAGGUGAAAUUCGUAGAUAUUGGGAAGAACACCGGUGGCGAAGGCGGCGACCUGGUCCUUGACUGACGCUGAGGCGCGAAAGCGUGGGGAGCAAACAGG